rnacentral:tRNA from 1 species
GGGGCCUUAGCUCAGCUGGGAGAGCGCCUGCUUUGCAAGCAGGAGGUCAGCGGUUCG